UUCACAGCUAUGAUAAGGAGUAGUAUUCCGCUUGGCUCAGCACAGAGAGUUGACGGUUGGUGCAAGUCAAUCUGAGGCAGUGGACGAACUCGCCUUAUCGCCCUGGAGGGGAACCGACAUUUAGUACCCUUCAGCGAUUCAUCCCCGUUACCGGAUUUUGAGUGAGUACUUGAUUUGGUGCUAAUUAGGGUGGUACCGCGGGAAUUGGUUAUUCAACCUCUCGUCCCUAGC
rnacentral:ncRNA from 1 species